AGAGUUUGAUUAUGGCUCAGGAUGAACGCUGGCGGUAUGCUUAACACAUGCAAGUCGAACGGAACCCUUAGGGGUUUAGUGGCGGACGGGUGAGUAACGCGUGAGAAUCGGCCCUCGGGUUGGGGACAACCAUUGGAAACGGUGGCUAAUACCGAAUAAGCCGAAAGGUGAAAGAUUANUCGCCUGGGGAAGAGCUCGCGUCUGAUUAGCUAGUUGGUGGGGUAAAGGCCUACCAAGGCACCGAUCAGUAACUGGUCUGAGAGGAUGGCCAGUCACACUGGGACUGAGACACGGCCCAGACUCCUACGGGAGGCAGCAGUGGGGAAUUUUCCGCAAUGGGCGAAAGCCUGACGGAGCAAUACCGCGUGGGGGAGGAAGGCUCUUGGGUCGUAAACCUCUUUUCUCAGGGAAGAACACAAUGACGGUACCUGAGGAAUCAGCAUCGGCUAACUCCGUGCCAGCAGCCGCGGUAAUACGGAGGAUGCAAGCGUUAUCCGGAAUGAUUGGGCGUAAAGCGUCCGCAGGUGGCAGUGUAAGUCUGCUGUCAAAGGUCAGGGCUCAACCCUGAACAGGCAGUGGAAACUACACAGCUAGAGUGCGGUGGGGGCAGAGGGAAUUCCCAGUGUAGCGGUGAAAUGCGUAGAGAUUGGGAAGAACACCGGUGGCGAAAGCGCUCUGCUAGGCCGUAACUGACACUCAUGGACGAAAGCUAGGGGAGCGAACGGGAUUAGAUACCCCAGUAGUCCUAGCCGUAAACGAUGGAUACUAGGCGUAGCUCGUAUCGACCCGAGCUGUGCCGUAGCUAACGCGUUAAGUAUCCCGCCUGGGGAGUACGCUCGCAAGAGUGAAACUCAAAUGAAUUGACGGGGG
rnacentral:rRNA from 1 species